GCCUAUGGCCAUACCACCCUGAAAGCAUCUAUCUUGGAAGCUAAGCAGGGUUGGGCCUGGUUAGUACUUGGAUGGGAGACAAAGUAAUAAGCAUCCAGAUGGAGAAGUUC
ensembl:rRNA 5S_rRNA 5S ribosomal RNA